rnacentral:rRNA from 1 species
UACGAAGGGGGCUAGCGUUGCUCGGAAUUACUGGGCGUAAAGGGCGCGUAGGCGGAUAUUUAAGUCGGGGGUGAAAUCCCGGGGCUCAACCUCGGAAUUGCCUUCGAUACUGGAUAUCUUGAGUUCGGGAGAGGUGAGUGGAAUGCCGAGUGUAGAGGUGAAAUUCGUAGAUAUUCGGCGGAACACCAGUGGCGAAGGCGACUCACUGGCCCGAUACUGACGCUGAGGCGCGAAAGCGUGGGGAGCAAACAGG